GACAGAGGCCCCAAGCGUUAGUCGGAAUCACUGGGCUUAAAGGGUGCGUAGGCGGCGCGGUAAGUCGGGUGUGAAAUCUCGGAGCUUAACUCCGAAACUGCAUUCGAUACUGCCGUGCUUGAGGACUGGAGAGGAGACUGGAAUUUACGGUGUAGCGGUGAAAUGCGUAGAUAUCGUAAGGAAGACCAGUGGCGAAGGCGGGUCUCUGGACAGUUCCUGACGCUGAGGCACGAAGGCCAGGGGAGCAAACGGG
rnacentral:rRNA from 1 species